rnacentral:rRNA from 1 species
UGCAGUCGAGCGGAUGAGAAGAGCUUGCUCUUCGAUUCAGCGGCGGACGGGUGAGUAAUGCCUAGGAAUCUGCCUGGUAGUGGGGGACAACGUUUCGAAAGGAACGCUAAUACCGCAUACGUCCUACGGGAGAAAGCAGGGGACCUUCGGGCCUUGCGCUAUCAGAUGAGCCUAGGUCGGAUUAGCUAGUUGGUGAGGUAAUGGCUCACCAAGGCGACGAUCCGUAACUGGUCUGAGAGGAUGAUCAGUCACACUGGAACUGAGACACGGUCCAGACUCCUACGGGAGGCAGCAGUGGGGAAUAUUGGACAAUGGGCGAAAGCCUGAUCCAGCCAUGCCGCGUGUGUGAAGAAGGUCUUCGGAUUGUAAAGCACUUUAAGUUGGGAGGAAGGGCAUUAACCUAAUACGUUAGUGUUUUGACGUUACCAACAGAAUAAGCACCGGCUAACUCUGUGCCAGCAGCCGCGGUAAUACAGAGGGUGCAAGCGUUAAUCGGAAUUACUGGGCGUAAAGCGCGCGUAGGUGGUUCGUUAAGUUGGAUGUGAAAUCCCCGGGCUCAACCUGGGAACUGCAUCCAAAACUGGCAAGCUAGAGUAGGGCAGAGGGUGGUGGAAUUUCCUGUGUAGCGGUGAAAUGCGUAAUAUA